rnacentral:rRNA from 1 species
GAUGAACGCUGGCGGCGUGCCUAAUACAUGCAAGUCGAGCGAACAGACGAGGAGCUUGCUCCUCUGACGUUAGCGGCGGACGGGUGAGUAACACGUGGAUAACCUACCUAUAAGACUGGGAUAACUUCGGGAAACCGGAGCUAAUACCGGAUAAUAUAUUGAACAGCAUGGUUCAAUAGUGAAAGACGGUUUUGCUGUCAAUUAUAGAUGGAUCCGCGCCGCAUUAGCUAGUUGGUAAGGUAACGGCUUACCAAGGCGACGAUGCGUAGCCGACCUGAGAGGGUGAUCGGCCACACUGGAACUGAGACACGGUCCAGACUCCUACGGGAGGCAGCAGUAGGGAAUCUUCCGCAAUGGGCGAAAGCCUGACGGAGCAACGCCGCGUGAGUGAUGAAGGUCUUCGGAUCGUAAAACUCUGUUAUUAGGGAAGAACAAAUGUGUAAGUAACUAUGCACGUCUUGACGGUACCUAAUCAGAAAGCCACGGCUAACUACGUG